GGGGUCGUAGCUCAGUUGGAAGAGCAGCUGCUGUGCAAGCAGUAGGUCGGAGGUUCGAUUCCUCUCGAUUCCACC
rnacentral:tRNA from 1 species